AUAGAAAGCAAAAAGAGAAACGAAAAAGAAUUCUAAGAAAAAGAAGAUAAGGAUAUUUGGUUAAGCCAUUAAAUUACCUACUGUAAUUCAUGAUCCAAAGUAUUAUAUAUAAGUAAAAAUAAAAUUAGAGAAGGCACUCUAGGGCAACAAUAUUAAUAAUUGUUCACAUUUUUCUACAUUAAAAUUGCAUAUCUCAUACUAUCAUUUACCAUAAUAUGAUUGAUCUCAGAAAUUUGGCCAAAUUCACCAGUGGACCAAACCCCAUCAGAACCAUUAACACGAGGAUUAGAGAGACAAGAAAGUAUUGAAAUUGGUGCUUGAAGAAUAGCAUAUAUAACUGAAAAACCACUCCAUCCAUGCCCAUGCUGUCUUCUUCCUCUUUCACCUCCAAACAUUGCUACUUCAACCCCCCUAUUCCCUUCUUCAAACAUGUUCUCAUCUGCCACCUUAGAACUCUUCUUCAUCUUAUAAAUAUUAAUCCUUCUCACUGCAGCUACAAGAUGCCACAUCUACAAUUUGAUAAAAUUGAAUUUAGAAGAGACAAUAAUUAUGUAAGUACUACUUACUAGCUUUGAUUAUUUUGAAUGAUAUUUUUCAAUAUAAAGAUAUGAUGAACUUUGAAGAAGAAAUUGAUUAUAUGAUUGAAAGGGUCAACCUCUAUUUAUGAGGGUUAAAUGAUAAUGGUAUUAAGUGGUGGUAUUGCUAGUGCUAGUGUUUAUCACCAAAGUUUUUUAUGGGUAUCUUUUAGUUUAAAGAGCCAACCAACUAUCACUAGCAUAUUUUUUUUAUUCAUUGAUAAUUAUAUGUGGGGUCUAUUCAAGCCCAACAUGCCGACAAACCUACCUAAUAGUACAAAUUAUAGUCUUCAUUUGUCAAAUUAUGGGUUUACAACUUUACAUAAUAGAUUUGCUAUAUACAUAUAGUUAUAUACUGAUUUACUAUUUUACCUAACAAAAGGGUCAAGCUUUUUGAGGUAUAGUUCUGUUCAUUUUGUGGUAUAAAUUAAAGGGUCUCAACAAAUUGAAGCUAAAUGACAAAAAAGCUAGAUAGCUAUAGAUAUUAUCAAAAGUGUGGUAAUUCUAAUCAAUCAUUUGGAUGAGUAACUUUAUCAAGAAAGAAUCAUCAAUUACCCUCCAAUGAUUUUUCUUUGUAUGACAUUGCAUUGCAUUGCAUUGUAUGGUAACAAAUUAUGAUUGUUGAUGCAAAGUUGUAUAGAUUCCCCACAAAUUUAGUCUGUGUUGGGGAAUCAAUGCCGAUACCUAUAUGUGAUGGAGACAUAUGUGGUGGCAUAGAUUAGUACCAUUUCUCCACUAAAGAUUAAGACUCUCAUGGUUAUCUAUUAUCUAUAUUCCUUUCUUGAACCUUGAAGAAAGCCAAGAUACGGAUAGAUAUGCAUAUUAUUUUAAACUAAUAAUUAGAAAAAUCAUGGUAUUGGAUUUUAAACUAACCAAAUAAGUUUUGUAUAAUAUAUCUUAAUAUGGUACAUGAUCUUUGUACUUAGGGGUGGUCCUUGGGGACAACUUGAUGAUGCCAAAGAUCAACUAGCUGGCCAUAGUGGUCCCUCACUAGGAAAUAAGAUAUUUUUUUGGUGAAGGGUAUGGGGCAAAAACCCUAACAAGAAACUAGAUUAGAGAACAUGCAGGAAGGAAACUUGGUUGACAUCGGGAGUUCGAAAUGAAAGUCAGUACUUUAUUAACACAAUAAUGUUAAGUUGAUGCUUUUUUUUUC
rnacentral:lncRNA from 1 species